CUCGCGGACGUUAACGGAUCUCUUGGUUCUGGCAUCGAUGAAGAACGCAGCGAAAUGCGAUAAGUAAUGUGAAUUGCAGAAUUCAGUGAAUCAUCGAAUCUUUGAACGCACAUUGCGCCCGCCAGUAUUCUGGCGGGCAUGCCUGUCCGAGCGUCAUUU
rnacentral:rRNA from 1 species